CGGACGGGUGAGUAAUGUCUGGGAAACUGCCUGAUGGAGGGGGAUAACUACUGGAAACGGUAGCUAAUACCGCAUAACGUCGCAAGACCAAAGAGGGGGACCUUCGGGCCUCUUGCCAUCGGAUGUGCCCAGAUGGGAUUAGCUAGUAGGUGGGGUAACGGCUCACCUAGGCGACGGUCCCUAGCUGGUCUGAGAGGAUGGCCAGCCACACUGGAACUGAGACACGGUCCAG
rnacentral:rRNA from 1 species